rnacentral:rRNA from 1 species
CACGUAGGGUGCGAGCGUUGUCCGGAAUUAUUGGGCGUAAAGAGCUCGUAGGCGGUGUGUCGCGUCGGCCGUGAAAACCUGCAGCUUAACUGUGGGCUUGCGGUCGAUACGGGCAGACUGGAGUACUGCAGGGGAGACUGGAAUUCCUGGUGUAGCGGUGGAAUGCGCAGAUAUCAGGAGGAACACCGGUGGCGAAGGCGGGUCUCUGGGCCACUACUGACGCUGAGAAGCGAAAGCAUGGGGAGCGAACAGG